rnacentral:rRNA from 1 species
GACGAACGCUGGCGGCGUGCUUAACACAUGCAAGUCGAACGGAAAGGCCCUGCUUUUGUGGGGUGCUCGAGUGGCGAACGGGUGAGUAACACGUGAGUAACCUGCCCUUGACUUUGGGAUAACUUCAGGAAACUGGGGCUAAUACCGGAUAGGAGCUCCUGCUGCAUGGUGGGGGUUGGAAAGUUUCGGCGGUUGGGGAUGGACUCGCGGCUUAUCAGCUUGUUGGUGGGGUAGUGGCUUACCAAGGCUUUGACGGGUAGCCGGCCUGAGAGGGUGACCGGGGACCAUGGGACUGAGAUACGCCCCAGACUCCUACGGGAGGCAGCAGGCGGGAAUAUUGCACAAUGGGCGGAAGCCUGAUGCAGCAACGCCGCGUGCGGGAUGACGGCCUUCGGGUUGUAAACCGCUUUCGCCUGUGACGAAGCGUGAGUGACGGUAAUGGGUAAAGAAGCACCGGCUAACUACGUG